rnacentral:rRNA from 1 species
GGAAGUAAAAGUCGUAACAAGGUUUCCGUAGGUGAACCUGCGGAAGGAUCAUUACUGAUUUAGCGAACCGAGCGUUAGCGAGGUUUUGCGAUCAACUUGUAUUUAAAACCCACUCUUCAAUGUAUAAAAUUUGUAUUAAUGAUAAAUUAAAAGAUCACUUUCAACAACGGAUCUCUUGGCUCUCGCAUCGAUGAAGAACGUAGCGAAGUGCGAUAAGUAAUGUGAAUUGCAGUAUUCCGUGAAUCAUCGAACCUUUGAACGCAUAUUGCACUUUCUGGUAUUCCGGAAAGUAUGCCUGUUUGAGGGUCAGUUAAAUAAAAAUCGGUGUUGUUGCCGCUUUCCGUGGUGACGCGUCGGAAUUGAGUCGUCUUCGGUUAAGUGACUUAAAAUUUUAUAUGAUUUUCGAACGUAUUUAAAUUUAUUUGAACGUUUGAUAUCGAAUGCUUAUUAGGUUCGGUCAUCCUCAUGACUCGCGCCUAUAAUUUUUCAUUAAAUGACCUCAAAUCAGGUAAGAAUACCCGCUGAACUUAAGCAUAUCAAUAAGCGGAGGA